GUGAAGAACGUAGCGAAAUGCGAUAAGUAAUGUGAAUUGCAGAAUUCAGUGAAUCAUCGAAUCUUUGAACGCACAUUGCGCCCGCCAGUAUUCUGGCGGGCAUGCCUGUUCGAGCGUCAUUUCAACCAUCAAGCCCCAGGCUUGUGUUGGGGACCUGCGGCUGCCGCAGGCCCUGAAAACCAGUGGCGGGCUCGCUGUCACACCGGGCGUAGUAGAUUUUAUCUCGCUCAGGGCGUGCUGCGGGUUCCGGCCGUUAAAAAGCCUUUUUUACCCAAGGUUGACCUCGGAUCAGGUAGGAAGACCCGCUGAACUUAAGCAUAUCAAUAAGCGGAGGA
rnacentral:misc_RNA from 1 species